UACGUAGGUGGCGAGCGUUGUCCGGAAUUACUGGGUGUAAAGGGCGUGUAGGCGGGAAUGCAAGUUAGAUGUGAAAGCCCAAAGCUUAACUUUGGAUCUGCAUCUAAAACUGUGUUUCUUGAGUACUGGAGAGGAAAGCGGAAUUCCUAGUGUAGCGGUGAAAUGCGUAGAUAUUAGGAGGAACACCAGUGGCGAAGGCGGCUUUCUGGACAGAAACUGACGCUGAGGCGCGAAAGCGCGGGGAG
rnacentral:rRNA from 1 species